CACACACACACACACACAUGUAUAUAGUGUUAGAAACUAACUAAAUAUCAAAACUUAUUUAAGUAGGAUUCCUUAUAUAAGCAGUAUAAUGAAAAAAUAAAGUACAAGCAAUAUUAUAACUAUUUGUAAAAUCAAACGUCAGCUUUUUAUUGAAACAAAUGAGAGGCUGUGAUUAUUUGGUGAGCUUUAGCUUGCACAAACCCAAUAUUGGAGUUGUCUCCAAGUUGUGAGGUCUCAAAUUCGACUCUCAGAAGGAGCCAAGCAAAUAAAAAAAAAUAUUUAACGAUAGUAAUACAUGGGCACCAGCCUAGUUAGUUAACCAUAAUAAUGGUAUCGGUACCCGAAGAUAUGGUUGUUAUGGUCAAUCAUAAUGCAAGCUAGCUGGUCAAUCAAUACGCAAGCUAGCUCAAUUUUAGUUGUAUGUAGUACUUGACCUCCCAUAACAUAUCGGAAGAACACUUCCGGGGCAUCUAUGUUUGGGAAUGCUGCAACCCAAAAAUACAUAGGGCGGGGACAUGGAUAGAAAGUGAAUACUCAUACCCCUUCCACCUCCAAGACAUCUGU
rnacentral:misc_RNA from 1 species